rnacentral:rRNA from 1 species
CUUUCGGGGUGAGUGGCGGACGGGUGAGUAACGCGUGGGAACGUGCCCUUUGCUACGGAAUAGUCCCGGGAAACUGGGGGUAAUACCGUAUGUGCCCUUCGGGGGAAAGAUUUAUCGGCAAAGGAUCGGCCCGCGUUGGAUUAGGCAGUUGGUGGGGUAAUGGCCUACCAAGCCGACGAUCCAUAGCUGGUUUGAGAGGAUGAUCAGCCACACUGGGACUGAGACACGGCCCAGACUCCUACGGGAGGCAGCAGUGGGGAAUCUUAGACAAUGGGGGAAACCCUGAUCUAGCCAUGCCGCGUGAUCGAUGAAGGCCUUAGGGUUGUAAAGAUCUUUCAGAUGGGAAGAUAAUGACGGUACCAUCAGAAGAAGCCCCGGCUAACUCCGUGCCAGCAGCCGCGGUAAUACGGAGGGGGCUAGCGUUAUUCGGAAUUACUGGGCGUAAAGCGCACGUAGGCGGAUUGGAUAGUUGGAGGUGAAAUCCCAGGCUCAACCUUGGAACUGCCUUCAAAACUUCCAGUCUUGAGGUCGAGAGAGGUAAGUGGAAUUCCGAGUGUAGAGGUGAAAUUCGUAGAUAUUUUGGAGGAACACCAGUGGCGA